CUCCGCUCUGCCCUCCAAUUUUCAAAGAGAAUUCUAACUCUGCAAUUCCUAUUUUUCAAGCAGAGAAGAAGAAAAAAUGUCAAAUCCGAUAGUCCUCUCCGAUGAUGAAGAAGAAGCCCAAAAUACUCCAAUUCACUCUCUUUCUAAAAAGCCCCGAACAACAACAACCACCGCCGCUAACCUCAAUUUUAUUUCCUCCACCGCCGCUGCCGCUGCCGCUGCUACUAAUACUAUCUUUCUCAUCGACGAUGAUCCUACUCCUCAGAAGAACAACAAUUCUUCUGGGCCCACUUCUACCGCCACCGCCACGUCAUCGUCGUUUUCUAUUGUUCCCGAUACUCCAAUGUCCGAUGAUAUCUCUAUCGUUAAAUGCACAUUUGCUUCUAGGUUUUCCAAUUUUCAAUCUAACCUAGACGAAAGUCGAUUUGUAUGUUUGGAAACUGAAAAUGACGAGCCAGGAAGUGGCUCUCCGAUGGAGAAUUGGAAGGCCGGCGAGAAAAUAGUGGGCGAUAUUAGUGAUGGCGACGAAACAGAGAAGACACGUUGGAGUUCUAGAUUCUAUGAUUCUUUGGGUUCACUAGGAAAUGAUAAUUUAACUCAGCCAUCUGGGGACAAUUCUCCUCCAUCAUUUAUGUGGCAAGAUGAUACCAAUCAGAUAAACGAUGACACAGAUAAAGAAAAUUGCAACAUGGAGCACAUCAGUAAUAAUAUAAAACAGAAAGUAACUAAUGUCUCUUCUGACACAAACAAAGUGAGAGGGAAUAAGAAGUUGACAAAAGAGGAAAGAAUUCGCCUUAUAGAAGAAAGAAAGCAAAAGAAAGAAGAAGAGAAGUUACAAAAAGCAGCAUUGAAGGCUCAAGGUGCAGAAAUGAAAAAAUUAGAGAAGGAAAAACAAAAGUGGGAAAAAGGGAAGCUUGCAUCAAAGUCUAUCGUUGCUGCAUUGGACACUAAAGUUGUUGAACAGGGAUCGAUCGGAGGACAUUUGCUUACCAGAUUUUCCGAAAAAGGUCUUACGUACCGCUUAACAUCAAACUCAAUUGAAAAGUCUAUUGUGUGGACCAUGAGUGUCCCAGAACAUAUUUCUCAGCUUUGUCCUAAAGGAACUGAGAUACAAUACGUGUUACUUGUAUAUGAGGCUGAGGAAUUUUGCAAACUUGUUAUGGAUGGAUCUCUUUUUGAUCAUGUUUCUAGAGUUCAAAGUCGUUAUCCAUCUUAUACAGUUUGCUAUCUCACCAAUAGGCUGAUGGCCUAUAUCAAUAAAAGGGAAAAGGAACAGUACAAGAAUCCAGAAAAUGCUAAUGGUUGGAGAUGUCCACCAAUUGAAGAGAUAUUGGCGAAACUGACCACCCACUUUGUCAGGGUACAUUACAGACAUUGUAGAGAUGAAGCAGAAAUUGCUGAACAUGUUAUUGGUUUGACAAGCAGCCUGGCAUCUUGCCAAUUUAGAGAUAAGUUAACACGACUAUCAGUAAAUGCUAAUGGCUCUCUUAUUCCGAAGGACUCUAUUGACAAGAAUUUGAUUAAAAAAAGUACAUGGUUAAAAGCUUUGGUAGCUAUCCCAAAGGUGCAACCACGAUUUGCAGUUGCUAUAUGGAAGAAGUAUCCUACCAUGAAAUCUCUUUUGCGUGUUUACAUGGACCCCAGUAAAUCGGUACAUGAAAAGGAAUUUCUGCUGGAGGACCUGACAACAGAAGCUUUAGUUGGUAGUGAUAGAAGAGUAGGUCGGAUAUGUUCAAAGCGAGUCUAUAGAAUACUUAUGGCUCAAAGUGGAAGCAUUAAAACUGAUGAUGUUGAGGAUGGCGCUGAUUUUUUCACGCCUCAACAAUCUUGAAUCAAAGAUGAUUUUUUUAUUUUAUGGGUUCAUUCAGCAGACAUAGGUGGCUAUUUUCUCUUCAAGUUCUGAAAUAUGCCUCUUUAACUUGGCCUCCCGGAUGACACUGUCAACUCAUCUCGACAUCAUAUAAGAAAAAUAGUGUCAAAUCAUGAGGAUAAGCUGAAUGGUGACUACCAAAUUCUCCGAGCUUUCUUGAUUUGAACACUUCAGAGACGUUAUUAGCUUUAGUUCUGUAAACAAACCAAGCUGGUCACGAGCAAUUUGGCAUUCAGCUUGAUAAGAGCUUUCGUGUUCGUUCGUAUCCUAGAGGAACCAAGUUUGAGCUUGGUGUUAUGUUCAUUUGUUUAAAUGAGCCUAACAUAAUGUUCAACUUGUAUAUGUUCACGAAUAGCAUGUAUAUGAGCUUAUUUAAUUGUUUGUAAAAAAGCUUGUAUAUAAGUUCUUUUAAGAGUUCGUGAACUAGCUUGUGUACGAGCUCAAUAAAGAGUGCUCAAAGAGACUUGUACAAGAAGUUCGAUUGAGAGUUCACGAACUAGCUCUUAGUUAAAUUAAAUAUGAAAUAUUCUUUAAAUUUAUAAACAAAGUUAUGUAGUUUAGAUAAAAAAACUUGGAGGUGACUUCCUCUUUCA